AAGAUCAUGCUUCAUGGGAUCAUUUUUAUAGUGUGAUUGUUGAGUUUCUUUCGCAAACUCGAAAUGCCUGCAACCACGAUGAGGAGUUGUAGGGUUUCUACCUGAGCGCGAAGCGGGCAGAGUGCGUCGGCUUUCUCAGCCUUUGCUUCUGCCAUUGAUGACCGUUCCAUUCGGACUUCGCUCUGAGGUGGAGGGUAGAAACCCAUUCUGAGUGGC